rnacentral:lncRNA from 1 species
UGAGAGUGUGCUUCUUAAAGGCACUAUAUGAAUUUAGAGCAUUUGCUUGCUCGGCCUUUAUGGUGGGCAGAUUAGGGCAGUGAGGAUGAUAGUGGUAUUUUGAUGAUUAAUACAAUGAUUAAGGGUAUAUCUAAUUAAAUAUUAUAAGGUAAUAUGAUAUAUCAUUACUAAGUUCAUCAUUCUCGAUACAUUAGUAGAAUGAGAUCAAGAUGU